GAUGAAGAACGCAGCGAAAUGCGAUAAGUAAUGUGAAUUGCAGAAUUCAGUGAAUCAUCGAAUCUUUGAACGCACAUUGCGCCCGCUAGUAUUCUGGCGGGCAUGCCUGUCCGAGCGUCAUUUCAACCCUCAAGCCCCCGGGCUUGGUGUUGGGGAUCGGCGAGCCUCCGCGCCCGCCGUCCCCUAAAUCUAGUGGCGGUCUCGCUGUAGCUUCCUCUGCGUAGUAGCACACCUCGCACUGGGAAACAGCGCGGCCACGCCGUUAAACCCCCAACUUCUGAACGUUUGACCUCGGAUCAGGUAGGAAUACCCGCUGAACUUAAGCAUAUCAAUGCGGAGGA
rnacentral:misc_RNA from 1 species